rnacentral:misc_RNA from 1 species
GAAAUGCGAUAAGUAAUGUGAAUUGCAGAAUUCAGUGAAUCAUCGAAUCUUUGAACGCACCUUGCGCCUUUUGGUAUUCCGAAAGGCAUGCCUGUUUGAGUGUCAUGAAAUCUCAAUCCCCCCGGGUUUAUGAUCUGGGUGGGGCUUGGACUUGGGCGUCUGCCGGUUGAACGGCUCGCCUCAAAUGACUCAGUGGAUCUCUCUGCAUCUGUGACAGACGUAAUAAGUUUCGUCUUGUCCCUUGCUGGAUGAGUCUGCUCACAACCUGCCAUCGCGCACCUUUGAAAUCUGACCUCAAAUCAGGUAGGACUACCCGCUGAACUUAA